GAUGAACGCUAGCGGGAGGCCUAACACAUGCAAGCCGAGCGGUAUGGGUAGCUUGCUCCCCAGAGAGCGGCGUACGGGUGCGUAACACGUGUGCAACCUGCCCCUAUCCGGGGGAUAGCCCUCCGAAAGGAGGAUUAAUACCCCAUAAUAUAUCUGGUGGCAUCACUAGAUAUUGAAAACCCCGGUGGAUAGGGAUGGGCACGCGCAAGAUUAGAUAGUUGGCGGGGUAACGGCCCACCAAGUCGAUGAUCUUUAGGGGUCCUGAGAGGGAGAUCCCCCACACUGGUACUGAGACACGGACCAGACUCCUACGGGAGGCAGCAGUGAGGAAUAUUGGACAAUGGGUGGAAGCCUGAUCCAGCCAUCCCGCGUGAGGGACGACGGCCCUAUGGGUUGUAAACCUCUUUUGUACGGGGAUAAACCUAUCUACGUGUAGAUAGCUGAAGGUACCGUACGAAUAAGCACCGGCUAACUCCGUG
rnacentral:rRNA from 1 species